rnacentral:rRNA from 1 species
GAUGAACGCUGGCGGCGUGCCUAAUACAUGCAAGUCGAACGAACGGACGAGAAGCUUGCUUCUCUGAUGUUAGCGGCGGACGGGUGAGUAACACGUGGAUAACCUACCUAUAAGACUGGGAUAACUUCGGGAAACCGUAGCUAAAAACGGAUAAUAUUUUGAACCGCAUGGUUCAAAAGUGAAAGACGGUCUUGCUGUCACUUAUAGAUGGAUCCGCGCUGCAUUAGCUAGUUGGUAAGGUAACGGCUUACCAAGGCAACGAUGCAUAGCCGACCUGAGAGGAUGAUCGGCCACACUGGAACUGAGACACGGUCCAGACUCCUACGGGAGGCAGCAGUGGGGAAUCUUCCGCAAUGGGCGAAAGCCUGACGGAGCAACGCCGCGUGUGUGAUGAAGGUCUUCGGAUCGUAAAACUCUGUUAUUAGGGAAGAACAUAGGUGUAAUUAACUGUGCACAUCUUGACGUUACCUAAUCAGAAAGCCACGGCUAACUACGUG